rnacentral:rRNA from 1 species
AUUGAACGCUGGCGGCAGGCCUAACACAUGCAAGUCGAGCGGAUGAAGGGAGCUUGCUCCUGGAUUCAGCGGCGGACGGGUGAGUAAUGCCUAGGAAUCUGCCUGGUAGUGGGGGAUAACGUCCGGAAACGGGCGCUAAUACCGCAUACGUCCUGAGGGAGAAAGUGGGGGAUCUUCGGACCUCACGCUAUCAGAUGAGCCUAGGUCGGAUUAGCUAGUUGGUGGGGUAAAGGCCUACCAAGGCGACGAUCCGUAACUGGUCUGAGAGGAUGAUCAGUCACACUGGAACUGAGACACGGUCCAGACUCCUACGGGAGGCAGCAGUGGGGAAUAUUGGACAAAGGGCGAAAGCCUGAUCCAGCCAUGCCGCGUGUGUGAAGAAGGUCUUUGGAUUGUAAAGCACUUUAAGUUGGGAGGAAGGGCAGUAAGUUAAUACCUUGCUGUUUUGACGUUACCAACAGAAUAAGCACCGGCUAACUUCGUG